CCUGAACGGAAUAGUGCAUCUUCUUCUCCAACCUUCUUCUUCUCUCUUCUCUACUCACUCUACUCCGAGCCCUCUUCUUCCCUCAGUCUUUCCCCUUUAUUUUUCUUCCCGAAUUCCCUGAAUUGCAAUCUCGAUUAGCCAUCAUCCCUUCCGCCUUCCUCUCCUCAGAGCAUUGUCUUCAUAGGGGGUUGCGGCGAGUCCGGGUCAUAACAAUAUGGUAUCAGAGCCGUUCGAUCCCCGAACACUGUAGGCAGAAAUUCCACGUUGGAUCCAGAUCGAAGGAUCUGUAGAGCCAACCCAGGAAAAUUUGGUCUGCAAUCGGGAUUCCAUCCCAGGGUGGAAUCUAGAUUACAAAGAUUGACCGCCACGGAAAUUCAAGGGAAUUGAGUAUUAAGGAGCCAGGAGGAACAUCAUUGGGAAGGAAUCGGAGCAGAUCAAGGCAAUUCUGCAUUCCCUCUCAGAGAGCCAACAUUGGGUCCAGUCGUGAAAAUCGUUUCAAAUUUGUUAGCAAAACCAAUCAGAUCAUGGCCGAUGGCACGAGACUCAAGGUGCUCGAUGAACACGUUCAUUCCUUGGAGCAGCAGUUGCAGGAGCUGACCAAUGGGACUAGCAAGAAGUUCGAGGAGUUGAGCCAUAAAGUUGAUAUGAUACAAGCUGAAGAAUACUCCCACUUCGAAGCGCUACGCCGAGAUUCAGCCAACACAGUGAAGAAGAUAGAGCAACUCAUGGAGCUCAUGGUCAACUAGCAACAUGCCUCUUUUUCUAAGGGCGCGAUGGGAACUAUAACACAAAAAGAGCGAGGUAUUUUACCCACACCCCCUGUUCCGUUAUCAAAAGAAGAUGCAAAUUCAUAUCAAGUGCACAGUAGGAACAACAAUGCAUUGCCCCUACCACGGUUAGAAUUUUCAAUGUUUAAUAGGGAAAACCCUAGGAGUUAGGUUAGGCGAUGCGAAAAAUGUUAUGAGAAUUAUGGAGUUAAAGAGCAUAAAAAACUAGAGUUAGCAACUAUGCACAUGGAUCCCAGAGUGGACAUUUGGUUUCAUGGCUACCUGGCGGAGAAAGGAGUAGUGAAUUGGGAGAUGUUUGCACAGGACAUAUGCAAAAGAUUUGAUUCCAGUGGGGAUGUCGUUGAAGAAUUUAAUAAGCUCACGCAGCAUGGAACAGUAGAAGAGUAUCAGGAACAAAUCGAAGAUCUGAGGUCGCAGCUACUAGAUACCAACUCACACUUCGCGCAGGAGUAUUUCUUGUCCAGUUUCUUAAGUGGGUUAAAGGAGGAGAUUAGGACUGCUGUUAAAAUGAUGCACCCAAGCUCUCUCACCCAAGCCUUCGAGCUUGCAAGGUUGCAGGAGCAAAACAUAGCCACGGUAAUGAAAAAGAGUAGAGUGUGGUUUAAAAGUCAAGGUAGUACCCUACUUGGUAGUGGCUACAAGGGCAACAGUUUGGCAGCGCCGGCAAGGUUACCUGACAACACCAGGAACUAUGCCAACAAGAUAGCCACUGAGAGGUUCCAGCCAAGUAGACAACUGAUCGAGCAGAGAAGAGCCGCGGGGUUGUGCUUGAAAUCUGGCGAAAAAUACUCAUUCGGGCACUAGUGUAAGCAACAGACAGUGCACUCUAUGAAUGCUAUGAGCGAAGUUGCGGAGAUUUAUGACGAGGAAAGUCUAAUGGAGGAAGGGGAGGCAGAAAAGCAAGAUGACAUAGAAGGAGAAGAAAUUGGGCUGUCGGUGCACGCCUUGAGUGCUGAGAACCCACAGGAGACCAUCAAAAUUCCAGGGGAAGCAAAAGGGAAAGCCCUAGUUAUCCUUGUGGGUACGGGUAGUACCCACAGCUUCAUAGACAUAAACACUGCCAAGGAGAUUAAGGCGACUGUUGCCUCGACCUCACCCUUAUCUGUAACAGUGGCAAACGGACAAAAUGUGCUCAGCAAAUUAAAAUGUCCGGGAUUCUUCUGGAGAAUGCAAGGGGAGGGGUAUACCUUGGACCUGCGUGUGAUAAGAUUAGAAGGAUCUAGCAUGAUACUGGGAAUCGACUGGUUAAGAGUUCAUGGGCCGGUUAUAUUCGACUACGAACAUCACACAGUUACCAUCACGGAAGAGGGGAAGAAAGUGGAGUUAAGAGGGAUGGCUGAGAAGGCAACAAUCAAGAGCCUCACUGCCAGACAGUGGAGGCAAGAGUACUUUGAAGGUAGUUGCUGCGCUCUCGCUCAGUUGUUAAGGGUAGAAGAAGCCGAACAGAUGAACAUUCCCCCGCAAAUACAAGCAGUCCUACAGGAGUUCGAGGAUGUAUUCAAGGAGCCGCAGGGACUUCCGCCAGCUAGGCCCCAAGACCAUCGAAUUCCUUUGUAAGCAGGAGCGCAACUGGUUAAUGUUCGAUCAUAUAGAUAUACUUAUGAACAGAAGAACGAAAUGAAGAGACUAAUUCGAGAGAUGCUCGUCACCUCGGUGAUCCAGCCGAGUAAUAGUCCCUAUGUGUCUCCGGUUUUGCUAGUUAAGAAAAAAGAUGGAAGCUAACAAUUUUGUGUAGACUACCGGCAGCUUAACAAGAUUACCGUCAAGGAUAAAUACCCGAUACCGAUCAUUGAGGAGCUACUAGAUGAAUUGGGGGGAUCCAAGUAUUUUUUAAAGAUAGACCUCCGAUUAGGCUACCACCAGAUCCGGAUGAACCCAGAGGAUAUUCCGAAGACGACCUUCAAAACCCAUGUGGGCCAUUACGAAUUCUGAGUCAUGCCGUUCGGGCUCACAAACGCGCCGACGACAUUUCAAGCAACAAUGAACGAGGUAUUCGCACCUUUACUUCGAAAAUUUGUUCUCAUUUUUUUUGAUGACAUAUUGAUCUAUAGUUGCACGAUCGAAGACCAUAUGAAGCACUUGGACGAGGUGCUUGGUAUCUUAAGAAAAAAAUCAGUUUUUUGCCAAAAGGUCGAAGUGUUUCUUUGGACGAGCAAAUCGAGUAUCUAGGGCAUAUUAUCACCUGCCAAGGGAUCGCCACCGACCCGAGCAAGAUAGAGGCCAUGUUACAAUGGCCGGCGCCGGAUUUAGUUAAGGGGUUAAGGGGAUUUUUGGGGCUGACAGGAUACUAUCGGAGAUUUAUUAAAGGGUAUGGAACUAUUUGCAAACCUUUGACGGAACUAUUGAAGAAGACAGGAUUUAAGUGGAAUCCGGUAGCACAAGAGGCCUUUGAGAGGUUAAAAAAAUUGAUGACGGAAGCCCCUGCACUUUGCUAGAUUACACAAAAACCUUUGUAGUAAAGGUUAGGGAUGCAAACGGGGCGGAUCUGGGGGCGGGAGCCCCGCCCCGCCUCCCGCCCCGAAUCCGUGACGGGUUGAAAAUAGUUAUCCCAUAAUCCGCUCCGCCUCAUAACCCGCCUCACGCCGGCGCCCCGAAUCCGCCCUGCCAAAAUACGCGUGUUGAAGCCGUUGAGGGUAUGGUACUUGUAGACGGAGGCAAAAAAGGAGAUGGAGGCGAGGAAAAGCGCGGUAGCCGGCAGCGGCGAGGGAAAGGGCGGCGGCCGGCGCAGGCGAGGGAAAGGGGGCGGCGGAGGCGAGGGGAGAAAAUGGGUGGUGACUGGUAGAGGGGAGAAAAAUGGGCGGCGACCGGUCGUGUUGGGGGAGAAGGAGUUGGGGUGGUCCUGGUGGAGGGGUUCUAGGGUUGUGAGACUUUUUAUUAGGGUUUUGCAAAAUAAAAGCUAAGCUGCUAAAGAUAGUUGGGUUUUUUGUAAAUAUAUUAUUUUUCAUGGGUAUUUAAAAAAAUAUAUAAAUGAUUUUUGGGGCGGAUGAUGGCCGGAUAAAAAAUUUUCCCGUUUCCUGCCCCGAAUCCGCCUCGGAUCAUAAAAAUUGCCCUGUUUCCUGCCCCGAAUCAGUUUAUUUCCUCCCGUUUACUGCCUCAUUCGCGGCGGAUCGGGGCGGGAGCUCCACCAACCCGGAUCCAUUUGCAUCCCUAGUAGAGGUUGAUGCAUGUGAUCAAGGGAUAGGAGCAGUAUUGACACAAGAAGGCCGACCCAUAGCCUCCCUAAGUCAGGCUAUAAGCAGGAAGAAUUUAGGAUUGUCCACUUAUGAAAAAGAGUUUCUGGCAAUAUUGAUGGCGGUAUCCAAGUUGAGACAUUUCUUGAGUCCGAAAAGGUUCAUCAUCAAGACGGAUCACGAGAGCUUGAAGCAUUUGCUGGAACAGAGAAUAACCACAGCCAUUUAACAAAAGGGGAUGUUGAAAUUGCUGGGGUUAGAUUAUAAGAUACAGUACAAGAAGGAAAAGGAGAACAAGGCUUCGGAUGCUCUCUCCCGCAGGGGGCAUGAAGAAAGGAGUAGUCGAGCCAUCUCAGUGGCUGUUCCCGAGUGGAUCACGGACGUACUAACUAGUUACCAAGGAGAUGAGGAAUGCCAGAAGCUCAUAGCUCAGCUAACCCUACAGCCAACAAGGUCAUCAGCUUAUGCCUAUGAUCAGGGACUACUACGCUACAAGGGAAAAUUGUACAUUGGGAAGGAAGGGGAUCUUCGGCGGAAGCUACUUGAUCAGAUGCACAAUUCGGCCUUAAGAGGCCAUUCUGGACAGCAAGCUACUUACAAAAGAGUUAAGAAAGUCUUCUACUGGCCAGGGCUCAAGCGAGAGGUAGAAGAAAUGGUGAAAAAUUGCACGAUUUGCAUUCAGAAUAAGGCGGACAAUCACUCUUAUGCCGGCCUACUACAACCUUUACCAGUUCCCUAUAGCAUCUGGCAGGAAAUUGGUAUGGAUUUCAUAGAAGGGCUCCCUCGGUCCGAAGGAAAAAAUUCGAUAAUGGUGGUGAUAGAUCGGUUCUCCAAAUAUGGGCACUUUAUUUCCCUGACACAUCCCUACACAGUUGCAACAGUAGCCCGAGCCUUCUUCGACACCGUCUACAAGUUACAUGGACUACCUGAGAAAAUCAUCUCAGAUAGAGAUAGAAUCUUUACAAGUGAAUUGUGGAAGGAGUUAUUCAAGAUGCUGGGAACAAAGUUACUCAUGAGCUCGGCCUACCAUCCCCAAACGGACGGACAAACGGAGCGACUCAACAGAUGUGUGGAAAACUACUUGCGCUGUUUGUGCUUCCAGCACUCGCAAAAAUGGCAUCGGUGGCUAGCGCAUGCCAAAUGGUGGUAUAACACCAACUUCCACACAUCUCCGGGAACCACUCCGUACCAGGCCCUUUACGGCAGAACACCGCCAACUACCUUGUUGCUAACUUAGGGCUGAACUCUACAGAAGACCUACAGGAAUGGGGGCGUGCUUAGGGAGAACCUACUGAAGGCCCAAAACAGGAUGAAACAGUUCGUCGACCGCCGAAGGAUGGACAAGGAGUACAAAGUCGACGACUUUGUAUUCUUAAAACUUCAACCUUAUCGCCAAAAUACAGUGGCAGAGCGAUGGAAUCUAAAACGUUCCUCAAGAUACUUUGGGCCCUACGAGAUCUUGGAAAGGAUCGGCGCGGUGGCUUACAGAUUGCGACUCCCAGAAGGCUCCAAGGUGCACCCCGUUUUCCAUGUCUCCCUACUCAAAUGAAGCCCGCCCGAAGGACAGCCGUCCAUGACCGUAGCACCUCCCGUGCAUGAGGAGCAAACCCCUACGGCACCUGAGUCGAUUUUGGAUCGGUGCAUGGUACGGCGCGGUAACAAGGUCGUAGCUCAGGUUUUGGUGUCGUGGAGCAACCUUCCUGCAAAUCUGGCAACUUGGGAAGAUUAUUGGUCUCUCAAGGAGCAAUUUCCCGGCUUUGAUCCUUGAGGACAAGGAUCUCUUCAUAGGAGGAAGGGAUUGUAACAAUGGAGAGGUGAGGAGAGUAGCUACUAGAAGCAGGGGAGUCUAAGUCAAGGGCGAGCGACAGUAGAUUUGGGGGAGAAAGAUCGGAGUAAGGGAUAGAGGCAACAACGGGUCGGGUUGUUGGUGUUGCUACUCGCUUCGGCAAUAAGUGGACCACAGGUUGCUUUACACAAAGCCUUCCAAUGUGGCCCAACGAGUUGGCCCAUACGAGAAUGGCGGCCCAACCGACUUGUGUGGUAUUUAGUUUCUUUUACUGCCUUACGUAUAUGUAAUUGCACUUUAGUCCCCCAGAUAGUAGGCUAUAAAUAGUAGAGCGGGUAGAUUGUAAUGGACAUGAAUGGAAUAGUGCAUCUUCUUCUCCAACCUUCUUCUUCUCUCUUCUCUACUCACUCUACUCCGAGCCCUCUUCUUCCCUCAGUCUUUCCCCUUUAUUUUUCUUCCCGAAUUCCCUGAAUUGCAAUCUCGAUUAGCCAUCAUCCCUUCCGCCUUCCUCUCCUCAGAGCAUUGUCUUCAUAGGGUGUUGCGGCGAGUCUGGGUCAUAACAAGAUCACUUACAGACAUCGAACUCACAAACCCUUAGCUACCAGAAGAUCGGUUUCCUUUUACUGAUUCCUGUAAUUCGCCAGGAAUUUUCGAAAACUCAUCGGAAUGCUUUCGACCCGCGAAGUGUCUCGGAAUGUUUCGAUUCACACCGUCAAUCACCCGCUGACCCGAAAUGCCCUAAUUUGGGUGCCUGAGCAACAAACACAUGAUCUCGUGCCAAUAAUUUCUUUUAGUGAUAUUAACACAGUACCAGGUUCUCGAAAAUGCCAAUUUUGGCUUUGAAACCCACCGGCGCUCACCCGCUGUCUCCGAAUGUUCGUGACAGCGAGGGCAACCAGCUAACUUGCUUGGCGAUGAAGCACAGGGCAUUUACACAAAAAUCCGAACUGAAAACGUGUUCUUGCGGCAAUUUUGUCAAAAAACGCAACAAAAUCCCAAUUUAACCUUGCAAGGGCCACCGAGCCAUGGGCAAUCAACAAAUAGUGACCUCACAAUGACCGAGGCAGUCCAUAACACCUUAAUUGUUUCUAAGUCCCUAAUAAUAAAUCUGUUUGCAUUUUAUAUAUAUAAAAAUAGAGAUUUUGACAUUUUAUUGAAUAUUGUGAGGUUUCGAAACCAAUCGGCAGUGCUCGCUGAUAGGUCUUGAUGUGCCGAAGAUCGUGCUUGCUGUCCGAAGCAUGAACAAAGGUUGCGGAGUGUGUCGGGGCUACGUGAAUUGUGGCUUCAAAGGUCAUCGGGAGUGACAAUGCUGGAUCCGCCAAUCGGGGCUCCUUCAAUAGCAAAGAAGGUGAGCACGGUGUCCUCAGGCCCUUAGAAGGGCAUUGCUCGCACUCUGGAUGGUCACCGAUCACCCUGCUGGCCGGAUUAGUGAAGUCGGCCCCAAAAAGCCCUAGAUCGGGCUAGAUUGGAGAAAAGGGAGCAAGGCUCGGCUGCUAGUGGCCAAGGAGUGCGCGCACCGACCGGAGGGGAGUGCAGCCGAUGCGGGGUGAUCGACAGUGGCGGCGCUAUAAAAAUCACGACCAAAACAACGGAGCUCGGGCUAGGGUUAUAACACUCGUCAAUGGGGGAAGUUGAGGGUCGACGGGGCGGCACCGGACGGUGGUAUAGUUCCACCAGGGCCCUCCGUGACGGCGGGGCACGAUGGCGGCGGCAGCCGCAUAGCGCGGCCCAAACUUCAAGAAGUUGUGUUCAAGAUGGACUUGGCGGCCACGGCGGCACAGAGCGAUGGCGGCACUCGUCGGGGCAUGGUUGCCUGAGCCUUAAGACACUGGCAGUAUGAUCCCGAGGCGGCGCGGCCAAGGGGGAGGGGUUAUGGGCUUGUUUGGAAGUGAGGGACAGAGAAAGGUGGGGAGAGGGCUUGGGGGUGGCUUGUAUGGGGCUCCGGUAGCCAGAGAAGAUCGCUAGAGCUCAGAGAGGGAAGGGUACUGUGGCAGCUAGGGCUUGAGGGGAGAAAUGAUGGCAAUAGGGUUAGAGAAACCCUAGAGUCCAUAUAAUAGGUUCAUUUGCAAACCUCAAGACGCCUGUACCCGCGGUCUCACGCAAAUCCAUACAUGAAAUGUCAGGAUUUUUUCAAAAAUACGAAUUUUCACAUUUGGUGCCAUCUCAUAUUUCACGCAUUCUUGUGCAAAUGGCUCGCCGAAUUUGAAAACGAACUAAGCUAGGACUAAUGGCACCGCAGGACCAUUAAAUCUACGUUUUCGCUUUGUCAGGAACGGUCGCCGAUUCGCGAUAUACCCAUCUCUCUCUUCCG
rnacentral:lncRNA from 1 species